GAUGAACGCUGGCGGCGUGCCUAAUACAUGCAAGUCGAGCGAACAGACGAGGAGCUUGCUCCUCUGACGUUAGCGGCGGACGGGUGAGUAACACGUGGAUAACCUACCUAUAAGACUGGGAUAACUUCGGGAAACCGGAGCUAAUACCGGAUAAUAUAUUGAACCGCAGGGUUCAAUAGUGAAAGACGGUUUUGCUGUCACUUAUAGAUGGAUCCGCGCCGCAUUAGCUAGUUGGUAAGGUAACGGCUUCCAAGGCGACGAUGCGUAGCCGACCUGAGAGGGUGAUCGGCCCCACUGGAACUGAGGCACGGUCCAGACUCCUACGGGAGGCAGCAGUAGGGAAUCUUCCGCAAUGGGCGAAAGCCUGACGGAGCAACGCCGCGUGAGUGAUGAAGGUCUUCGGAUCGUAAAACUCUGUUAUUAGGGAAGAACAAAUGUGUAAGUAACUAUGCACGUCUUGACGGUACCUAAUCAGAAGGCCACGGCUAACUACGUG
rnacentral:rRNA from 1 species